rnacentral:rRNA from 1 species
GAUGAACGCUAGCGGCAGGCUUAACACAUGCAAGUCGAGGGGUAACAGGGAGUGCUUGCACUCCGCUGACGACCGGCGCACGGGUGCGUAACGCGUAUGCAACCUACCUUUUACAGGGGGAUAGUCAAGAGAAAUUUUGAAUAACACCCCAUACGAUCUUAGUCACACCUGUGAUUUAGAGGAAAACUUCGGUGGUAAAAGAUGGGCAUGCGUCCUAUUAGUUAGAUGGUGAGGUAACGGCUCCCCAUGACUACGAUAGGUAGGGGUCCUGAGAGGGAGAUCCCCCACACUGGUACUGAGACACGGACCAG